GAUCCUGGCUCAGAUUGAACGCUGGCGGCAGGCCUAACACAUGCAAGUCGAACGGUAACAGGAAGAAGCUUGCUUCUUUGCUGACGAGUGGCGGACGGGUGAGUAAUGUCUGGGAAACUGCCUGAUGGAGGGGGAUAACUACUGGAAACGGUAGCUAAUACCGCAUAAUGUCGCAAGACCAAAGAGGGGGGACCUUCGGGCCGUCUUGUCCAUCGGAUGUGCCCACGAUGGGAUUAGCUAGUAGGUGGGGG
rnacentral:rRNA from 1 species